GACGAACGCUGGCGGCGUGCUUAACACAUGCAAGUCGAACGCUGAAGCACCAGCUUGCUGGUGUGGAUGAGUGGCGAACGGGUGAGUAAUACGUGAGUAACCUGCCCUUGACUCUGGGAUAAGCCCGGGAAACUGGGUCUAAUACUGGAUGCUACAUGUCACCGCAUGGUGGUGUGUGGAAAGGGUUUACUGGUCUUGGAUGGGCUCACGGCCUAUCAGCUUGUUGGUGAGGUAAUGGCUCACCAAGGCGACGACGGGUAGCCGGCCUGAGAGGGUGACCGGCCACACUGGGACUGAGACACGGCCCAGACUCCUACGGGAGGCAGCAGUGGGGAAUAUUGCACAAUGGGCGAAAGCCUGAUGCAGCGACGCCGCGUGAGGGAUGACGGCCUUCGGGUAGUAAACCUCUUUCAGCAGGGAAGAAGCCACAAGUGACGGUACCUGCAGAAGAAGCGCCGGCUAACUACGUG
rnacentral:rRNA from 1 species